AUAUUUUAUUAUAUAUGCAUAUUAAAUGAUAUAUACUUAUUAUAAUUUUAAUUUUAAUAUUUGAGGUUAAUAUAAAUACAAAUAUAAAUAUGGAAUCCCCUUCUAUUUCUUGGAAUCUUGUUAUUAUGGAGUCCCCUCCUAAUUUUGGGAUUUGUAUGCCUAGGAGGGAUCCGGAUUCCGUGCAGUCAUUUUUUCGAUGCAAUCAUGCAGUCAUGACAUCUAUAAUCAUCCGAUCAAGAUCAGACGGUUAUGAUUUAAACUAUCAUAUAUUGACUGCAUUUGUUUAAACCGUCCGAUCACGAUCAGACGGCUAUUAAACGACUAUAUGGAAAAAUGACUACACCAGAUCCAAUUCCGCCUAGGAGAGAUGCUCUAAUUUCUUAGUUUCUUUUUGUCUCUUUUUUGGACUCCGGCUUCUUUGUAAAAAACAAAUACAUAUAAAUAUAAAUAUAAUACAUAUGCAACGUGUCAUGACCGUUUAAAAAAAGAUGACACUAUAAUGGCUUGGUUUUUGCGUAAAAGUUGAAGGAAAGAUUAAGGAAGGAGUGAAACUAGAGGGAUUGGUAAUCUUUCAUUUGUUUGGAACCACCUUAAAAAGGGAAGAUUGUAAUAGCUGGAUCACAUAAUAAAUAUGUUGGACGCAUUAUUUUGAUUAAAAUUACAUAAAAACCCUCAACCACAAAAGCAUUCCAAUGCAUUACUAUUUUCUUUUCUUUUUUUUCCACCGAAAGUAUUCACUGUUGCAUUCUAAUGUAACAUUCGAAUAUAUUAAAGGAUCAUGCUAAUUGGUUAAAGUAUAAAAAAUUAUUAAAAAGAUCACCUUUUUUGUUGACAAGGAUUACUUUCUACCAUAGUUUUAAAAACUGGACCGGACCGGCCGGUCAGACCGGUCUGGCCAGGAACCGGAAGGUUUGAUGGGUCGGUUUGAAAAUUUGAUAAAAAUUUCAAUAAUUAUGCUGGCAGGGAUUUGAACCUGUGACAUCUGCAUGCACAGCAAACAUCCUUACCACUAGGCCAAAUCAAUUUAUGUGAUAAAAAUACAUAAAACUUAAAUAUAUUUAAUAGUUUAUUUAAGAAACAUGUGCUAUGAUAUUGGUACCACCUAAUUUUUUUUUUCUAACCAUCUCAUGUCACAUAUAUCCAAUUUUUUUUUAAAGACAUAUAUCUAAUAAGUAUUGAU
rnacentral:lncRNA from 1 species